rnacentral:rRNA from 1 species
UACGGAGGAUGCGAGCGUUAUCCGGAUUUAUUAGGUUUAAAGGGUGUGUAGGCGGAAGACUAAGUCAGUGGUGAAAUCUCUCGGCUUAACCGGGAAACUGCCAUAGAUACUGGUUUUCUUGAGUACAGUUGAAGUAGGCGGAAUGUGUAAUGUAGCGGUGAAAUGCUUAGAUAUUACACAGAACACCGAUUGCGAAGGCAGCUUGCUAAGCUGUUACUGACGCUGAUGCACGAAAGCGUGGGGAG